rnacentral:rRNA from 1 species
GACGAACGCUGGCGGCGUGCCUAAUACAUGCAAGUCGAGCGAAUCAAUAGGAGCUUGCUCCUGAUGGUUAGCGGCGGACGGGUGAGUAACACGUGGGCAACCUGCCUGUAAGACAGGGAUAACACCGGGAAACCGGUGCUAAUACCGGAUAAUCCUUUUCCUCUCAUGAGGAAAAGCUGAAAGUCGGUUUCGGCUGACACUUACAGAUGGGCCCGCGGCGCAUUAGCUAGUUGGUGAGAUAACGGCUCACCAAGGCGACGAUGCGUAGCCGACCUGAGAGGGUGAUCGGCCACACUGGGACUGAGACACGGCCCAGACUCCUACGGGAGGCAGCAGUAGGGAAUCUUCCACAAUGGACGAAAGUCUGAUGGAGCAACGCCGCGUGAGCGAUGAAGGCCUUCGGGUCGUAAAGCUCUGUUGUUAGGGAAGAACAAGUACCGGAGUAACUGCCGGUACCUUGACGGUACCUAACCAGAAAGCCACGGCUAACUACGUGCCAGCCGCCGCCGUAA